UACAUAGGGCGCAAGCGUUGUCCGGAAUUAUUGGGCGUAAAGAGCUCGUAGGCGGCUUGUCACGUCGAUUGUGAAAGCCCGGGGCUUAACUCCGGGUCUGCAGUCGAUACGGGCUAGCUAGAGUGUGGUAGGGGAGAUCGGAAUUCCUGGUGUAGCGGUGAAAUGCGCAGAUAUCAGGAGGAACACCGGUGGCGAAGGCGGAUCUCUGGGCCAUUACUGACGCUGAGGAGCGAAAGCGUGGGGAGCGAACAGG
rnacentral:rRNA from 1 species